rnacentral:rRNA from 1 species
AUUGAACGCUGGCGACAGGCCUAACACAUGCAAGUCGAACGAGUGGCGGACGGGUGAGUAAUGUCUGGGAAACUGCAUGAUGGAGGGGGAUAACUACUGGAAACGGUAGCUAAUACCGCAUACCAUCGGAUGUGCCCAGAUGGGAUUAGCUAGUAGGUGGGGUAAAGGCUCACCUAGGCGACGAGCCCUAGCUGGUCUGAGAGGAUGACCAUCCACACGAGACCUGAGACACGGUACAGACUCCUACUGGAGGCAGAAGUGGGGAAUAUUGCACAAUGGGCGCAAGCCUGAAGCAGCCAUGCCGCGGGUAUGAAGAAGGCCUUCGGGUUGUAAAGUACUUUCAGCGGGGAGGCGUUACCCGCAGAAGAAGCACCGGCUAACUCCGUGCCAGCCGCCGCGGUAAUUC